GACGAACCGUGCGAACGUUGUUCGGAAUCACUGGGCUUAAAGGGCGCGUAGGCGGCUCGCGCGGUCGGGGGUGAAAUCCCACGGCUUAACCGUGGAAGGGCCUUCGAUACCGGCGGGCUCGAGGAAGGUAGGGGUGCGCGGAACUUCUGGUGGAGCGGUGAAAUGCGUUGAUAUCAGAAGGAACGCCGGCGGCGAAAGCGGCGCACUGGAUCUUGUCUGACGCUGAGGCGCGAAAGCCAGGGGAGCAAACGGG
rnacentral:rRNA from 1 species